AGGACUCAAGUUUAAGUCCCAGCACCCACGUGGAAACUCAAAAUCGAGUGUUAAUUACAGUACCAGAGGAUCCAAGACCCUCUUUUGGCCUCUUAACUUCCCACUACCUGCUCCUUGUACUGGCUGAACAAUGGUUUCCUGAAGAUGUUCAUGGCAUAAAUCCUGGAGAGACAUUCCACUGAAUGUCAGAAAGGACUCUGUAGACACGAUCGAGGGUCUUGAGAAGGGAACGCUGGCCUGGAUUUGCUGAGGAAGCCCACAGUAACCAGGAGAGCUUUUAGAAAGAGGCAGCAGGUGUUAUUUUGGAGAGAUGGCUCAGCAGUUUAGAGUGCUGGCUCUACUUCCAGAGGACUGGAGUUCGUUCAAUUCCCAACACCACAUGGUGACUCACAAUCAUCUGUAACUCCAGUCCCAGGGACCCAACACCCUCUUCUAGCUACCACAGGCACCAGGAAUGCAAGUGGUGCACAGACAUACAUGCAGGUAAAACAUCAGUACACAUAAAGAUAAACAUGCAUGUAUGAUGAGUAGACUUUUUGUUGUCCCCUAAGCAGCAGAGCACAGCAGGUACUGACUGAGAGCUUACAUUGAGUAAGUGUUAGACAAGCAUUUGAAGAUGGCCUGCUGGUGUCAAGAGAUGUAUGGGAUGCUCGCUUCACCUCUUCCUUCAACUAUAAAUAAAUUAUUAAAACCUG
rnacentral:lncRNA from 1 species